UGCUGGGAUUACAGGCGUGAGCCACCGCACCUGGCCUCCUUGAAAACCUUGAGAGAAUUGAAGGUCCUCCUGGCCUUCAUGGUUCCCAGAUUUUGAACCCCUGCACUAGGUACUCUCAACUCUACCCUGAAGUCAAGCCGCACCAGCAAAGCUGAUGCGUGAUCUCUUAUUCGGGCCGCUCUAAAACUUGUUCCGUUGAAUCGUGUUUUGCCAUUAAGCAUCCGCUGAGGUUGAGGAGGGCUGUCAGUUACUUACUGUGUUGUUGUAAGUGUAUAGUGUGUGCUGAUCUCACUCCUGGCUUUAUCUUUUUUUUUUUUUUUUUUCCUACCAUCAUUUUACUUCUGUCCUAAUUUCUUUAUCUCUUUGAAUUAAAUUUGUUAAUUUAAUUAAAUUGAAAAUAUAUC